UCGACUUCCCAGGGAGGUUGCCCGCCGGACGACCACACAAAACUCUUGAAUUAAUGGCUUCUCUGAGUAUUAAUCAAAUAAGUUAAAACUUUCAACAACGGAUCUCUUGGUUCUGGCAUCGAUGAAGAACGCAGCGAAAUGCGAUAAGUAAUGUGAAUUGCAGAAUUCAGUGAAUCAUCGAAUCUUUGAACGCACAUUGCGCCCGCCAGUAUUCUGGCGGGCAUGCCUGUUCGAGCGUCAUUUCAACCCUCAAGCUUGGCUUGGUGUUGGGGCCUUGCGGCUACCGCAAGCCCUGAAAAGCAGUGGCGGGCUCGCUGUAACUCCGAGCGUAGUAACAUAUUCUCGUUCUGGAAGGAUGGCGGGUGCCGGCCGAUAAAACCCCUACUAUUUUUUAAGGUUGACCUCGGAUCAUGUAGGAAUACCCGCUGAACUUA
rnacentral:rRNA from 1 species